rnacentral:rRNA from 1 species
GACAGAGGGUGCAAACGUUGUUCGGAAUUACUGGGCGUAAAGCGCGUGUAGGCUGUCUUGUAAGUCGGGUGUGAAAGCCCUGGGCUCAACCUAGGAAGUGCACUCGAAACUGCGAGACUUGAGUCCUGGAGAGGAAGGCGGAAUUCUCGGUGUAGAGGUGAAAUUCGUAGAUAUCGAGAGGAACACCGGUGGCGAAGGCGGCCUUCUGGACAGUGACUGACGCUGAGACGCGAAAGCGUGGGGAGCAAACAGG